GACGAACGCUGGCGGCGUGCUUAACACAUGCAAGUCGAACGGAAAGGCCCUGCUUUUGUGGGGUGCUCGAGUGGCGAACGGGUGAGUAACACGUGAGUAACCUGCCCUUGACUUUGGGAUAACUUCAGGAAACUGGGGCUAAUACCGGAUAGGAGCUCCUGCUGCAUGGUGGGGGUUGGAGAGUUUCGGCGGUUGGGGAUGGACUCGCGGCUUAUCAGCUUGUUGGUGGGGUAGUGGCUUACCAAGGCUUUGACGGGUAGCAGGCCUGAGAGGGUGACCGGCCACAUUGGGACUGAGAUACGGCCCAGACUCCUACGGGAGGCAGCAGUGGGGAAUAUUGCACAAUGGGCGGAAGCCUGAUGCAGCAACGCCGCGUGCGGGAUGACGGCCUUCGGGUUGUAAACCGCUUUCGCCUGUGACGAAGCGUGAGUGACGGUAAUGGGUAAAGAAGCACCGGCUAACUACGUG
rnacentral:rRNA from 1 species